UUUUAAUUUUUUUUUUUUAUUAUUAUUAAUUUAUUUAAGUACUAAAAUAAUAUUUUUUAUAAACUGAGAAGGGGUAUUAUUAAAAGUUUAAAAAUAUUUUUAGUACCUUUUGUAUCAUGGUUAAUUAAAUAAAAAAUUUAUAUUUAACUCUCGAAUAAAAGAUAUUUAUUAUAUUUUUGUUUUUUUUAUUUCAAAAAAAUUAUUAAAUUUAUAGUUGUAGUUAUAUAUUAUUCGUUCUUUUUAAUAUCUAGUUAUUUAGGAAAUUAAUUUAAUUAAUGAUUAAUUAUUUUUUCUUUUUUAUGAAAAUUAAUCUUAUAUAAUUUGGGAUAAUCUAAGUUUUUUUUUAAAAUUUAAUAUUUUUUAUUUUUUUUAAUUUUUAAAUCUUUUAUUAAGUUCUUAAUAGAUUAGGAUUAAUUAUUUAUGAUUUUUUUUUAUUUAUAUUUUUACUAAAUUAAUUAAUUAAAUUAUUAUAUUAAAUAAAUAAUGAUUAAAUUAGUAUAAUUUAAAAUUAAUUUUUAAUGAACUCGACAAAUUUAAUUUUCAACUGUUUAUCAAAAACAUUUCUUUUAGAUAAUAUUUAAAAGUAAAUUCUGCCCUAUGAUUUAUUUUAAAUGGCUGCAGUAUUUUGACUGUGCAAAGGUAGCAUAAUAAUUAGUCAUUUAAUUGUUGACUUGUAUGAAUGGAUAAAUGAAAAAUUUAUUUUAUUAAUUUUAUUUUUAAAAUUUAAUUUUUAAGUAAAAAAGCUUAAUUUUUUUUUUGGGACGAUAAGACCCUAGAGAACUUUAUAUUUUAUAAAAUAAAGUUAAUUUUAUAAAUUUUUUUGUUGGGGUGAUAAGUAAAUUUAAACUUUAUUUUAUUUUUUCAUUUUUAAAUGAUUUUUUUGAUCUAAAAUUUUUAAUUAAAAGUUUAAGUUACCUUAGGGAUAACAGCGUAAUUUUAAUGGGGAGUUCAUAUUUAUAUUAAAGUUUGCGACCUCGAUGUUGAAUUAAGAUAAAGUGAAGGGGUAGGUUUUUUUAUUUUAAGUCUGUUCGACUUUUAAAUUCUUACAUGAUUUGAGUUCAAACCGGUGUGAGCCAGGUUGGUUUCUAUCUUAAUAUUAUUAUGUUUAUAUAGUACGAAAGGACCAAUAAUCACAAUCUUUAUUGUAAAUUAAUGAAUUAUAAU
rnacentral:rRNA from 1 species